UCCAAGCAGUCCAGCAUCCCUAACAUAUAGUACCACAAAUGAUAAAAAAAAAAAAAAAAAAACGCCAUGCAGUUCAUGAUGCCAAGCUAUUCCACUCCCAAUGUCCAACAUUCAAUCAUACUGUUACGUAGAUGGCCGUAAGCACGAUAUUGCUGUAUAUAGAAUGUUUUUAUUUGGGCUGUAGAGUUUGUAGAAGCGGCAGCGAGACACCUAGGGGAAUGCCAACGGUAUCAAUGCAUCAAAUUGUCUUGUUCAUUUUGUGAAUGAGGCGUGAUAGUGUUAUUCUGAGUGCACAUAAGUGUAUGAGUUAGCAUGUAGUUUUACCUGUAUUAGGUAGGGAAGUAUAUAAUUAUGUGUGUGUGUGUGUGUGUUUGUGUGAAUUAUGUGUCUAUAAAUAACACAUUGGCAACGUUUGAGACGAGUGACUGAGCGUGGCCGCAGCCACGAGGCAAGACGUGCCGUGCGCCCGUGCCUGCUUUGUAGCGCCGGGCAAGAAGGAAGUGUUAAAUAAAACGCUGUGAUUUUCCGGGCUUUUGCUUACUUAUCCAUUGUGCAAGAGCUGAGUAAGCCCGUGAGGCCCCUGGACACCGGACUCAUGUGAAUUGAAACACUGGCUCAACCCACCAGCAUUGUCCACAGAGCGUUAUUGUACAAAGGUCUACAAGUAUGUCACCAGUCAAGUUGAAUUUGAUUUCUUCCCAUGUUACCUGGUACUGACCAUCAGGCCUGGAGACAUAGUGCAGUUACCCAUCUGGGGCCUUCAUCACAACCCCCGCCACUGGCCAGACCCAGAGGCCUUCAUCCCGGACCGCUUCCUUCCCAAGAACAAAGGCAACAUCAGUUCCUUCGCACACAUGCCCUUUGGAAUGGGACCAAAGAAUUGCUUAGGUGAGGACCCUUCAGAAGUGAUUGACUUGCUUAGGAGUCAAUGUAUACUUGGCUUCAAUCGAAAAUUUUCUUGGACACCAGUAAGUAAAAUCUUCCUUUUGGUGUUUAUAGCCAUGCGGUUUGCUCUGAUGGAGGCCAAAGUGGCACUGGCCAAGCUGCUGCUGGGGACAGAGAUGGAGUUGGCACAGGGCCAUGAGGAGGUGACCUUAGAGAGGCAAGGUGGUCUGUUAAGGUCUAAAGGUUUGAACAUAAAGAUAAAGCCGAUCGUGGAAGAGUAAAUCAGAGUUCAAUUUCGCAUUCAAGAAAACCAUGCCACGACCUACAUUAGGCGCAAAUCACUCUGCCUUUUAUCAAUAGCAGCUUCUUUAUCAGACAAACAAAUUAUUACAGUUACAGAGGACAUAGAAGGAAGCUCUUCGUUGGGCACAGAACAGACACCCUUACACAUAUACACCGAGACAAAGACAUGAAUUCACCUGCACAGAAACAAUUUGUAUACGAUUACAAACAUGAAUGUGAACAACGGGAAACGUUACAAGUAAAGAAAAAUUAAACCUACAUAUCACUGAAAAUAUUACAAGAUACAAUAAAAACUUGCCAUGUAACUAACUAACUUCAUACACAUCCACGGUAUCCCCAUUCUGAUUUACACUUAAAGGACUGUAGUUAGCUUAACGCAUACAAACAUUCAAACACCAGAUUAGAAAAUUAAAGAAAUAUACCACGGUGGACUGGCCACCUCCUUAUAUUCUCCAAUUGAAAUAAAUUCUUUACUUCCCAUUUUCUCCUCUUCACUUCUAAAGCCUUUUUUACAUGGGGCAAGUAGAGAGGCAUCUCAAGAGAAGAGCCUGCAAACAGGAAAGUCCCCGCACAUUUUGCGCAUGUGCAGGCAGUCUCGCCUCAUGAUUGGUGCGAGUAGUCUCGCCUUGUGAAUGGCCGCCACAUUCUAAUCUGCUAACUUAAUCUAACCUAACCUAAUCAAAUCUAACCUAACUAACCAAACCUGAGUACUUACCCAACCUAGCCGAUAUAAUGUCUUAUAAACAAGAAACCAUAUCCAGUAAUUUAUUACAAGGUAGUUAGGUUACAGGAUAGUUAGGUUAAGAUUAAGGCGUGAAAUUCACGCUCAAUCGUUCAAACGUGGUGGUUUUUUUCACGCCUGACUCCUGGAAUUCUGUUUCAUUAUUGCAUUGCUGUGCUCCGAGAGUGGUCACAACUCACAAGUGUGUGUAAAAACAGGUGAACAAAUGGCUGCCCAGAGUAAAGAAAAAAAAGCCCUCCUUUUAUAUUUGUUGUAUAAAAGACAGCAAAAAAAGGAUUCGCUAUUAAUUGCAGUCAUCAUUUGAUCUGAAAAAAGGAUGUUAUUUUUAAAAACUUAGAUUUUUCUAUGUUUAUGUAUUUGUUAUUACAUAAGUACACAUUCAGUAACAAUAAAAAAUGACUUUAAUUAUCCUUUUACCUAUUGUAGAUUUUCAUUCAGUACGGGAGAUGCACACGUCCACAUUACCCGCUGCCUGAACUGUACUGCCAGGUGGCGGCGUGACAAAACACGCCGAGUGUGAAAGAAAGCAAUGAACACCAUUGGAAGCUAAACUUUGGCGUGAAAUUUCACGCUUCGUUUUUAGCAGACACACGCGCGGCAUCAGGCGUGAAAUUCACGCCGCGUGAAAAAACUGCCACGUCUGAACAGAAGUAUGCAUUUUGUAUGUCCGCUUAGGUUGGGCGUGAACUUCCCGCCGCGUGAUUUUUCACGCGGCGUGAAUUUCACGCCUUGUGUGAAAGGGGCCUAAGGUUAAGGAUAGGUUAGAUUAGUUAGAUUGGCUGACGAGAAGAUGGUGGCCCAAUCACGUGGUGAGUCUGCUCGCACAUGCGCAAUGUGCGGGGACUUUCCUGCGUGCAGGUCCUCCCAUCUCAAGUGUGCAAACAACUUGCACACUUGACGUGCCUGUAUACUUGCCGUGUGCAAAAGAGGCUCAAACCUUUUUCCUUCCUUAGAAGUACGCAAUAGCUUGUAUGAAUGAAAUCAGUACACCAAGCUGAAGUAUUACGUAUCGUGGACAACUAUUUACGCAUGACACUUGCCUUUUAUAUACGAGUAUAUCCAUGACGCUACUUCAUAGUUCUUGUAUCUGGACAGUUGGCGACGCCAGGAGUGUUUAGUUGUGCUGGCAGCCCACAGGUUACAGUGGUCAGCAGAUGCGAUGUGACAGCAACGUGAGAGAGAGAGUGAUGCAAAAUAAAAAUAAAUAAAUAAAGGAAGACAACGUGCUACAAAGCUAAACCUAUUAAUGUACUAGAUUAGAUAUUGCUUAGAAUAAAUACAUACUGAACC